GGCAGCCUGCGAAAAGCUCCGGGGAGUCGGCAACAGACUUUGAUCCGGAGAUGUCCGAAUGGGGAAACCCGGCCCUAGUGGUCAUCCCUUGACUGAAUACAUAGGUCUUGGGAAGCGAACGCGGCGAACUGAAACAUCUAAGUAGCUGCAGGAAAAGAAAUCAACCGAGAUUCCCCAAGUAGCGGCGAGCGAACGGGGAGGAGCCCUGAAGUGGUUGAACGUUUAGUGGAACAGACUGGAAAGUCUGGCGAUACAGAGUGAUAGCCUCGUACACGACAAGCCUCAACCAUGAUGACGAGUAGGGCGGGACACGUGAAAUCCUGUCUGAAUAUGGGGGGACCAUCCUCCAAGGCUAAAUACUACUUACCGACCGAUAGUGAACCAGUACCGUGAGGGAAAGGCGAAAAGAACCCCGGCGAGGGGAGUGAAAUAGAACCUGAAACCGUGUGCGUACAAGCAGUAGGAGCGGAGAGAUUCCGUGACUGCGUACCUUUUGUAUAAUGGGUCAGCGACUUAAUGAUCGUGGCAAGCUUAACCGAUUAGGGGAGGCGUAGGGAAACCGAGUCUGAAUAGGGCGAUAGUCGCGGUCAUUAGACCCGAAACCGGAGCGAUCUAUCCAUGGCCAGGAUGAAGGUUGGGUAAAACCAACUGGAGGUCCGAACCCACAAAUGUUGAAAAAUUUGGGGAUGAGCUGUGGAUCGGAGUGAAAGGCUAAUCAAGCCCGGAGAUAGCUGGUUCUCCUCGAAAGCUAUUUAGGUAGCGCCUCGUAUCUCACUCUCGGGGGUAGAGCACUGUUAUGGCUAGGGGGUCAUCCCGACUUACCAAACCAUUGCAAACUCCGAAUACCGAGAAGUGCAAUUACGGGAGACAGACGGUGGGUGCUAACGUCCAUCGUCAAGAGGGAAACAACCCAGACCGCCAGCUAAGGUCCCUAAAUCUGUGCUAAGUGGGAAACGAUGUGGGAAGGCAUAGACAGCUAGGAGGUUGGCUUAGAAGCAGCCAUCCUUUAAAGAAAGCGUAAUAGCUCACUAGUCAAGUCGGCCUGCGCGGAAGAUUUAACGGGGCUCAAGCACAGUACCGAAGCUGCGGAUGCCGCAAGGCAUGGUAGAGGAGCGUUCUGUAGGCCGUUGAAGGUGUGCUGUGAGGCAUGCUGGAGGUAUCAGAAGUGCGAAUGCUGACAUAAGUAACGAUAAU
rnacentral:rRNA from 1 species